ensembl:lncRNA
UAUUUAUUCAGUAUACAGAAGGCUCAAAUAAUUUUCAGUGACAAGAAUGAACUGAGAUUGGUAUCUCUGGCACAAAAAUGUGAUCAGAAAGACAUGCAUCUUUUUAAGUAUGGAAAGUGUAGAAUAUUUUCUUGUAUUUUAGAUGGACUACACAUUUACAAUCUAAUUAGUAAGUACAAAAAUCUGAUAUCAACAAACUAAAAAAAGGAAAGACUAAACAGAAAGCUUCUGCAUGAAGCUCUGAGGCUGGUAAUUAAAAGGAGAUCCUUCAAUACAUAUUGCUGGGCUUAAGAGCAAGAUUUACAGACUAAACAAAAUGUUUCAACUAACUGACUAGUAAAUUGUCAUUGUUGUAGUCUUUGGAGAUAUGUCAUUUCCAUAUUUACAUUGUACAGACGUUUUCCAUAAGUUUUCAGCCAAUAUUUCAGAGAGAGAGAGAGACAGAGACAGAGAGACAGAGAGAGAGAAAGUGAAGCAUCAUAUUUGGUUCUAGUCUUAGACUCAAUAUUGAUAAGUGUAUAACCUGGAACUAAUUACUAAGACCUUGUUUCUCAAUUUCCACAGCUGAAAUGUGAUCCAAACAAUCUUUUUGUCCAUACUUCAAAAAUUAAAAGUAAUUUACCCAAUCUAUUAAGCAGAAGUCUCAUAACUGUCUUUUCCUUUGUUCUAAUGUUUGCUUUGCACAAUCUUCCCAGGAAACCCUGUCGGUAGCAUAACUGACAGUUACCUGUUCAAAGGCUAUGUACAGACAAGGCCACCCCCCAGCAGUACAGGACCACUUAGAAGUUACUGACUUAUGGUCUUAUAGUAACCAGCUGCAAAACUGUUGUUUCCAGAAUGUAGCUGUUAAUUUGUAAACACAAUGAAAACUGAUGAAAGCAGCAUUGGUGACUGAAUGUUUACUUUGCCAAUAAUUGGGUCUAGCAAACAUGGGACUUUGAAGUUCAGUUAUUGCAUAUACCUAUCAACAGUCCAUUAUUUACCGGAACUGGCAUGAUAUAGAAGUACAGAAAUAGGUUUGGGUUUUUUUACUGAAAUAAGGAAGCAAUAACCAGAAUAGGCUUGGCCCUAUUUGCGAAGUCAAUGCAUUAAACUGUUGAUGCAAUAUAUUAACUUGCACCCAACAUCUCUAUUUUCAAAAAUUCUACAUGACCAAAUAUGGAAACA